rnacentral:tRNA from 1 species
UUAAAUAAAGCCAAAAAGAGGCGUACUAAUGUUAAUAGUAUAAGUGAUAUAAUUAAUAUCUAUUUAA